rnacentral:lncRNA from 1 species
AACAGCAGUGAAGCUGCCAGCACCUUUGCUGCCACUGAUGAUGGAAGGGAAUGGAAAGGGCUGUGAACACUGCAGGAUUUUGAGAAUGAGGAGGACAACAGCCACAACAUGAGUAGCUUGAGUCCAGGCAAUGACACUGGAGACAAAAAGAAGAAAAAGAAACAAAAGAAGAAGAAAGAGAAAGGCAACCACAUGAAUUCCACCAACUGCCAGAGACUCCCUAAAGAGCUGGGCUACAACCAAUGGAAAAGAAGGACAUCCCAUUAGUGCAUCAGCUGCUCAGCAGGUACCUGAAGCAGUUUCACCUCACCCCUGUCAUGAAUCAAUCGGGAGGAGGUAGAGCACUGGUUCUUCCCCCAGGAGAACAUCAUUGACACUUUUGUGGUAGAGAAUGCUAAUGGUGAGGUGACUGAUUUCCUGAGCUUUUUUUUUUAAUACACUUCCCUCCAUCAUCGUAAACCAUCCAACCUAGAAGAGUCUGAAAGCUAUACGUACUUCUUCACAAUGUCCACAUCCAGACCCCUCUUCUAGACCUUAUUAGCAAUGCCCUUGUUCUAGCCAGAAUGAAAAGUUUCAAUGUAUUCAAUGCACUGGAUCUCAUGGAGAACAAAACAUUUCUGGAGAAGCUCAAGUUCUGCAUAGGGGACUGCAACCUGCAGUAUUACCUGUACAGUUAGAAGUGCCUGAGCAUGGGGGAAGAGAAAGUUGGGCUGGUGUUACAG